rnacentral:rRNA from 1 species
GGUCAAGCUACAAAGGGCGCAUGGUGAAUGCCUUGGCAUCAGGAGCCGAUGAAGGACGUGAUAAGCUGCGAUAAGCUUCGGGUAGGCGCACAUAGCCUGAGAUCCGAAGAUCUCCGAAUGAGGAAACUCACAUGGGAAACCCCAUGUAUCAUUAAGUGAAUACAUAGCUUAAUGAAGGUAACCCAGGGAACUGAAACAUCUAAGUACCUGGAGGAAGAGAAAGAAAAAUCGAUUUUCUUAGUAGCGGCGAGCGAAAGGGAAAGAGCCCAAACCGGAAACUUGUUUCCGGGGUUGUGGACAUAACAUAAAAGUGGAGGCUAUUGUAACUGAAGAGAACUGGAAAGUUCCACCGUAGAAGGUAAUAGUCCUGUAAGUGAAACGAGAAGACCACGAGUUAUGAUCCAGAGUACCACGAGACACGUGAAACCUUGUGGGAAGCAGGGAGGACCACCUCCCAAGGCUAAAUACUACCUGAUGACCGAUAGUGAAGCAGUACCGUGAGGGAAAGGUGAAAAGAACCCCGGGAGGGGAGUGAAAUAGAACCUGAAACCGUGUGCCUACAACCGCUCAGAGCCCCUUAUGAGGGUGAUGAGGUGCUUUUUGUAGAACGAGCCAACGAGUUACGGUAUGUAGCAAGGUUAAGUACUUAAGGUACGGAGCCGAAGGGAAACCGAGUCUGAAUAGGGCGACUAGUUGCAUGCCGUAGACCCGAAACCGGGUGACCUAUCCAUGGCCAGGUUGAAGCGAGGGUAAAACCUCGUGGAGGACCGAACCACGUUGCUGUUGAAAAAGCAUGGGAUGAGCUGUGGAUAGCGGAGAAAUUCCAAUCGAACCCGGAGAUAGCUGGUUCUCUCCGAAAUAGCUUUAGGGCUAGCGUCGAGUAUGAGUAGUGGAGGUAGAGCACUGAAUGGGCUAGGGGGCAUAGCGCUUACCGAACCUUAUCAAACUCCGAAUGCCACAUACUUUGAGCUCGGCAGUCAGACUACGAAUGAUAAGAUCCGUGGUCAAAAGGGAAACAGCCCAGAUCGUCAGCUAAGGUCCCAAAGUGUAAGUUAAGUGGGAAAGGAUGUGAGAUUUCUAAGACAACUAGGAUGUUGGCUUAGAAGCAGCCAUUCAUUAAAAGAGUGCGUAAUAGCUCACUAGUCGAGAGAUCUUGCGCCGAAAAUGUAACGGGGCUAAACUUACCACCGAAGCUACGGGCUUGAACUUAGUUCAAGCGGUAGGAGAGCGUCGUAACCGGGCUGAAGUCGUACCGUAAGGAGCGGUGGACUGGUUACGAGUGAGAAUGUUGGCAUCAGUAGCGAGAUGUGGGUGAGAAUCCCACAGGCCGAAAACCUAAGGUUUCCUCAGGAAGGUUCGUCCGCUGAGGGUUAGUCGGGACCUAAGCCGAGGCCGAAAGGCGUAGGUGAUGGACAACUGGUUGAUAUUCCAGUACCACUACCAUCGUUAUUAUCGAUGGCGUGACGCAGGAGGAUAGUGUGUGCUAGCUAUUGGAUGCUAGUCUAAGCGUUUAGGCAGUGAGAGUAGGCAAAUCCGCUCUCAUAAUGCUGAGGCGUGAUGGGGAAGGUUCUACGGAACCGAAGUACAUGAUUCCACGCUGCCAAGAAAAGCGUCUAGAGAGAGAAGUAGUGCCCGUACCGCAAACCGACACAGGUAGGUGAGGAGAGAAUCCUAAGGCCGGCGGAAGAAUUACAGUUAAGGAACUCGGCAAAUUGACCCCGUAAGUUCGCGAGAAGGGGUGCCUACGAGAGUAGGCCGCAGAGAAUAGGCCCAAGCAACUGUUUAGCAAAAACACAGGUCUCUGCUAAAGCGUAAGCUGAUGUAUAGGGGCUGACGCCUGCCCGGUGCUGGAAGGUUAAGGGGAACACUUAGCGCAAGCGAAGGUGUGAACUUAAGCCCCAGUAAACGGCGGCCGUAACUAUAACGGUCCUAAGGUAGCGAAAUUCCUUGUCAGGUAAGUUCUGACCCGCACGAAUGGCGUAAUGACUUGGGCACUGUCUCAACUGUAAAUCCGGCGAAGUUGUAGUGCGAGUGAAGAUGCUCGCUACCCGCGAUUGGACGGAAAGACCCCGUAGAGCUUUACUGUAGCUUAGCAUUGAGUUUUGGUAUUGUCUGUACAGGAUAGGUGGGAGACUAGGAAACCAGGGCGUCAGCCUUGGUGGAGUCAACCUUGGGAUACCACCCUGACAGUACUGAAAUUCUAACUGGCGGCCAUGAAUCUGGUCACAGGACAUUGUUAGGUGGGCAGUUUGACUGGGGCGGUCGCCUCCUAAAAAGUAACGGAGGCGCCCAAAGGUUCCCUCAGAACGGUCGGAAAUCGUUCGAAGAGUGCAAAGGCAGAAGGGAGCCUGACUGCGACACCCACAAGUGGAGCAGGGACGAAAGUCGGGCUUAGUGAUCCGGUGGUACCUCGUGGGAGGGCCAUCGCUCAACGGAUAAAAGCUACCUCGGGGAUAACAGGCUGAUCUCCCCCAAGAGUCCACAUCGACGGGGAGGUUUGGCACCUCGAUGUCGGCUCGUCGCAUCCUGGGGCUGAAGUAGGUCCCAAGGGUUGGGCUGUUCGCCCAUUAAAGCGGCACGCGAGCUGGGUUCAGAACGUCGUGAGACAGUUCGGUCCCUAUCCGUCGCGGGCGUAGGAAAUUUGAGAGGAGCUGUCCUUAGUACGAGAGGACCGGGAUGGACUGACCUCUGGUGUACCAGUUGUUCCGCCAGGAGCACAGCUGGGUAGCUAAGUCGGGAAUGGAUAAACGCUGAAAGCAUCUAAGCGUGAAGCCAACCUCAAGAUGAGAUUUCCCAUAGC